rnacentral:rRNA from 1 species
CGCGUAGGCGGUUUGUUAAGUCGGAUGUGAAAUCCCCGGGCUCAACCUGGGAACUGCAUCCGAUACUGGCAGGCUAGAAUGCAGUAGAGGGAGGUGGAAUUUCCGGUGUAGCGGUGAAAUGCGUAGAGAUCGGAAGGAACACCAGUGGUGAAGGCGGCCUCCUGGACUGACAUUGACGCUGAGGUGCGAAAGCGUGGGGAUCAAAUA